AAAUUGAAGAGUUUGAUCAUGGCUCAGAUUGAACGCUGGCGGCAGGCCUAACACAUGCAAGUCGAGCGGUAGCACAGAGAGCUUGCUCUCGGGUGACGAGCGGCGGACGGGUGAGUAAUGUCUGGGAAACUGCCUGAUGGAGGGGGAUAACUACUGGAAACGGUGGCUAAUACCGCAUAAUGUCGCAAGACCAAAGUGGGGGACCUUCGGGCCUCAUGCCAUCAGAUGUGCCCAGAUGGGAUUAGCUAGUAGGUGGGGUAACGGCUCACCUAGGCGACGAUCCCUAGCUGGUCUGAGAGGAUGACCAG
rnacentral:rRNA from 1 species